UACGUAGGGGGCUAGCGUUGUCCGGAUUUAUUGGGCGUAAAGAGCGUGUAGGCGGCCAGGUAGGUCUGCUGUGAAAACUCGAGGCUCAACCUCGAGACGUCGGCGGAAACCAUCUGGCUAGAGUCCGGAAGAGGAGAGUGGAAUUCCUGGUGUAGCGGUGAAUGACGCAGACGUAUACUAGGAAGAACACCCGUGGCUAAGGCGGCUCUCUAGUACGGUACUGACGCUGAGACGCGAAAGCGUGGGGAGCGAACAGG
rnacentral:rRNA from 1 species